CCACCAACCGGAUGGAUCGGCGGCCACCGCCAUAUACGGCAGCGCGCAACGCAGAAUGUGUCCAGGCCGCAACAGGCAAAACUGUGAAACGCGCGGAUCGAGUGCAGCGAUUUGGUCGGCAGUAACUUUUGCUGCUUGUUUCUUACUUCAGCUCCACCAGUGCGAUCGAUUAAUCGAAAUGCAUCGCAGCGUAAGGGUAACUUUGCAACUUCUCGCGCCAGGAGGUGCAUUGGUCAUAAACGU
rnacentral:lncRNA from 1 species